GCCGGGAUGGUGAAAUUGGUAGACACGCUUGAUUUAGGUUCAAGUGCCGCAAGGUGUGCAGGUUCGAGUCCUGUUCCCGGUA
rnacentral:tRNA from 1 species